CCACACUGCCGCGACGCGUUUCCCUUGCUCCUAUUUUCACAUUCGCUCCUGGAUUUCCGCUGGGCCCAGUGGAGGAUUCUCCCUUGAGCGCCAGUUAUGUUGUUCGACUUGGUGGUCGAUGAUCAGGGGUUUCGAGUGCGUGGAUGAUUCUGUGGAUCGAGGAAGAAUUAUGUAGGCUGGGGUUCCCUUAUUAAGUACGCAUCGAGUCAGAGAGUCUGGUUCGGGAUUGUUAACAUUUGGAAGACUUUAUGGAAUAGAGUGUCGUGGAUUGAGAUAACGAUUACUACGGGGAUGUGUUUAGGAAUCAGUUAAAUAUCACUUUCCACAACCGUGAGUAUACUUUGUGACAAAACUCAAGUUCCAAAAUCUUCAAAAAAUUCACCUCAACAUAGUCUUCUAAUUGCACCAGUGACGCCAUCAACUACUUUCCGUAAAUAGCCAAUCUCAAAACUAUGUAGUACAUCGAUAGCGUCGUAUAGUCUAGUUUAUUUCAAUUUCCUUAGAAAGUAACAAGGACGGCGUAGGAAUAUGCAAAUCGACAUUUAAAUAUUUACACGCCACUUGAGUGUACUCAAUAGCCCCAACUUUUUCCGAUUGCCAACUUGUGAGUCGCCUUGGGUACCUGUCGAUCGGGGAUUUCCUUUACCUCGCAGCUCGUUCUUGUUUCUUCUCUUCGACUCGAUACCCCAACGUCUCUUUUUUCCUCGUUUGGACGACCACCAUGAAGCAUCCGCCACUCGUUGUACUUGUCAAAGCGUAUUGCAUGUUGACCGAUGGCGGAUACGGCGACGAACGAAGGGGCGAGUUCAUUUAAACCAUCCUGACGCCGUCCAUCCAAGUGAUAGGGGCUUGGAACUUUCCCCCGGAAAUUGCUUUAAACUCAGAUUCGCUGGAGCUACGUCUCAGGCACGUGCAAACAGACUGGAACGAGUCAUUAUAGCGUGGGUGGCGUGAGCUGGACCGGAUAGUUCCCCAAGAUCAUGAAUAAACAAGUGGAUUAGUUAUUCGAACGCCUAACACGAUAUCAAAAAUAAAUGUCGGAAUCCCCAAGCUGGAUCCAGAGCUGAUUCGAUGCGUAAUCGCUGGCCGGAUUUGGUAACGGCAGCCGCGACGAAACGGCGUGCGAAGAGGAAUCGCUGACGGGACACUUCUUCCUCUGCAUAAUGCACCGAGGGGAACGCGACGAGGCAUUAGGCCCUGGGCGUCCGUCCGCAGCGCGGAGACCGCGAAGGAGUAAGAAAGGGUCAGGCGCGCAUCCGUAGAAUAUAAACGGCAAUCAGUCCGAACUUAUUAUCGCGGCUGAAGGAGGACAAGAAGCCUGGCGCGGGGAACGAUAUGGAGAAACUCGAAAGGGAGAGUGACGGGGAGUCGCGGAGAGAGAAAAUGGGAGAAGAGGGAGAGGAAAAAUGUGCGAGGAAGGAUGGAGAGGACUGGAAGGGAGAAAACGAAACCUGUAGGGAACGGGAGAUCGUGGAGAUAGCGAUGGGGGCUUCGAGGGUCUAGCAUGUUGUUUAUUCGCGGAUAGGAACGUUCACGUGUUCGGUCUGAUUUGCAGAUUGCUCAAAGGGAACCUAUUUUACAUCAAGAGCCCAUUCAAGUCUUGACACGGAGCCUUUAGAAAACAAAUUACCUAUCUAUCCCUCAGCCCCACCUCGAAACACGUCAACAAACCUGUUCGAAUCCCAUCACUACGAGACUGGAAGCCUUCUCGAGACGGAGAGGAAGGCAGAUUAGAGGAAGCGGAUAGUAGGGGAAAGGGAACGGUCCAUGAAAGCCUCUUCGACGUCAUUUGUAAUACCGUAUGGCCUAAUGAUGCGACUGGUCGUGACAGGACGCGGAUAAAAGUAGAAGCGCGCGAUUGUGGAGAUUGAGGGUGCAUGCAGAGCGCCCGUGGGUUGGGACGAUCCUCUUUGCGACCGCUUGCACGGCUCCGUCGAUUGUUAAGGGCCCAAUCUCGGUGAACACUUCCCGGCACGUAAUGGUGAUUUGCUCGAUCGCAGAAACGGAGGCACUUCUGCGAUUUCAUCGAGCAAUUUUUGCACGCCUCGAAUGCCAGUUAUUGCGCGCGUGCAGCGUGCAGGAUGUCCCCGUAAUAUCGUUCGUUUGCGGGCACCAUGCUGUUUCGUCGCCAAAGAACGUCCCCUUCGUUGUGCCGUUGUUACCUUCGUUUCUGAGAAUCGUGUGACCAACCUUUUUGCCGAACCUAUUCCCCGCGGCGAAUUAGAUCUUCGGGGAAUUUAACAUCCUUCGAAAAAAGCGAGCGUGAAGAUUUAAUUAUAGGCGAGUUAUUUUUCUAGGACGUGAGACAAUUGGGGAACUAGUAGUUCAGACGAUUAUGUAUAUCACUCAUGUACAGUUUUCAAGAAAUGAAACGUUUAGUCUACUUUAUAUGACUUUUCAUUAAAUUCGAGGUACUAUGUCUCUUAUAUACCUCAAACUGUAUAACAAAUAUAUUAAAUAUGUAUGUAUAUAUUCAACAUGGUACAAGGGCUUCUGGACCGGCGAUGGUUCAAAGUCAUUUUUCUAUAAUAAAAAAAAAAGAGACUCUGUCUUCAUGUUCAUUAAAUUUCUGACAUACACGUGCAAAGUUCAAUUGCGAACGUAAUAAUCCACGAGAAAUCUAUGAAAUGAGUUUGAUUUCUCAUGAAUCAUUAAUAGCAGUAAAUCUUCAACCUCUUCAACCUCAACUCCAAGUAGUAUUUACUGCUGUCACUCAUUCAAUGCUUUGUACCUAAUUUACAAAAUUUCCAGAUAUAUUCAUCAUCUCUCCCCUAGAGUCGCUUCCUGAUCCACGAGAGAAUUACAAUGACAAAGAAUAAUAACUGACGUAAACGAGCAUGUAAAAUGACAACCGUCUCGAAACUCGCGUUACAAUAGCGAGAGCGCCAUGAAUCACGUGGCGAGUACCGAUUAAGAAUUUCAAUUCGCGCGACACGACGGGAGAUCUGUGUCGCGUAAAUCUCAAGCAAACUACUCGUCGUGUAGAAAAAGGCAAAGACUGUAAGAGGUAGGCAUUACUCACAUGAGGUCUUGCGCGGCGGCGCUCUAAAACGCGCGAUUUAUAUCUACAAGUGGGCGCGUGUCAAACCCGAGAAAAGAACCUGCCCACACAGGUAGUAUCGAAAGAUGGUGGAGAUUGCGUGGUAUGUUUUACCGUAUCGCAGCGUGAAAUUAUACGGCUGAGGACGAAGAAGGGAUCGGUGAACUCCCAAUCUUCGAGGGACCGAUCGAGGAAAAAAGUUUCGCCGUGCCAAAUGUGGAACAAAUCGGUUGGAAGUGUUUUCUUUGGUUUCAUUCUGGGAUCGAGAGACGGAACUCUUGGAAUUUCGUUUGCUGAAUGGACUUGAGCUUCGGGACAAGUAAUCUUAUUAAAGUCGUCUUAUAAAGGAUCAAAGGUGGAUCAAGAUUUUCGGGAUUUUCGUAGAUUUA